UACGGGGGGGGCGAGCGUUGUUCGGAAUCACUGGGCGUAAAGGGCGCGUAGGCGGCCCGCACAAGUCUGCGGUGAAAACCCCCGGCUUAACCGGGGGCCGGCCGUGGAAACUGCCGGGCUAGAGGCCGGGAGAGGGCAGCGGAAUUCCCGGUGUAGCGGUGAAAUGCGUAGAGAUCGGGAGGAACACCGGCGGCGAAGGCGGCUGCCUGGACCGGCCCUGACGCUGAGGCGCGAAAGCUAGGGGAGCAAACAGG
rnacentral:rRNA from 1 species